rnacentral:rRNA from 1 species
UACGCACGUGCUACAAUGGACAGAACAAAGGGCAGGGAAACCGCGAGGUUAAGCCAAUCCCACAAAUCUGUUCUCAGUUCGGAUCGCAGGGUGCAACUCGACUGCGUGAAGCUGGAAUCGCUAGUAAUCGCGGAUCAGCAUGCCGCGGUGAAUACGUUCCCGGGCCUUGUGCACACCGCCCGUCACACCACGAGAGUUUGUAACACCCGAAGUCGGUGAGGUAACCUUUUAGGAGCCAGCCGCCGAAGGUGGGACAGAUGA